AUUGAACGCUGGCGGCAUGCCUAACACAUGCAAGUCGAGCGGAUGAAGGGAGCUUUCUCCUGGAUUCAGCGGCGGACGGGUGAGUAAUGCCUAGGAAUCUGCCUGGUAGUGGGGGAUAACGUCCGGAAACGGGCGCUAAUACCGCAUACGUCCUGAGGGAGAAAGUGGUGGAUCUUCGGACCUCACGCUAUCAGAUGAGCCUAGGUCGGAUUAGCUAGUUGGUGGGGUAAAGGCCUACCAAGGCGACGAUCCGUAACUGGUCUGAGAGGAUGAUCAGUCAAACUGGAACUGAGAAACGGUCCAGACUCCUACGGGAGGAAGAAGUGGGGAAUAUUGGCAAAUGGGCGAAAGCCUGAUCCAGACAUGCCGCGUGUGUGAAGAAGGUCUUCGGAUUGUAAAGCACUUUAAGUUGGGAGGACGGGCAGUAAGUUAAUAACUUGAUGUUUUGACGUUACCAACAGAGUAAGCACCGGCUAACUACGUG
rnacentral:rRNA from 1 species